rnacentral:rRNA from 1 species
UACGUAGGGUGCAAGCGUUAAUCGGAAUUACUGGGCGUAAAGCGUGCGCAGGCGGUGAUGUAAGACAGAUGUGAAAUCCCCGGGCUCAACCUGGGACCUGCAUUUGUGACUGCAUUGCUAGAGUACGGCAGAGGGGGAUGGAAUUCCGCGUGUAGCAGUGAAAUGCGUAGAUAUGCGGAGGAACACCGAUGGCGAAGGCAAUCCCCUGGGCCUGUACUGACGCUCAUGCACGAAAGCGUGGGGAGCAAACAGG